AUUGAACGCUGGCGGCAGGCUUAACACAUGCAAGUCGAGCGGGGAGAGGUGCUUCGGUACUGAUCCUAGCGGCGGACGGGUGAGUAAUGCUUAGGAAUCUGCCAUUUAGUGGGGGACAACAUUCCGAAAGGAAUGCUAAUACCGCAUACGUCCUACGGGAGAAAGCAGGGGAUCUUCGGACCUUGCGCUAAAUGAUGAGCCUAAGUCGGAUUAGCUAGUUGGUGGGGUAAAGGCCUACCAAGGCGACGAUCUGUAGCGGGUCUGAGAGGAUGAUCCGCCACACUGGGACGGAGACACGGCCCAGACUCCUACGGGAGGCAGCAGUGGGGAAUAUUGGACAAUGGGCGGAAGCCUGAUCCAGCCAUGCCGCGUGUGUGAAGAAGGCCUUUUGGUUGUAAAGCACUUUAAGCGAGGAGGAGGCUACCUGGAUUAAUACUCUAGGAUAGUGGACGUUACUCGCAGAAUAAGCACCGGCUAACUCUGUGCCAGCCGCCGCGGUAAAAC
rnacentral:rRNA from 1 species